GAAUAUUGGACAAUGGGGGCAACCCUGAUCCAGCCAUGCCGCGUGUGUGAAGAAGGCUUUCGGGUUGUAAAGCACUUUCAGUGAGGAGGAAAAGUUGGUCGUUAAUACCGGCCAGCCUUGACGUUACUCACAGAAGAAGCCCCGCCUAACUCCGUGCCAGCAGCCGCGGUAAUACGGAGGGUGCAAGCGUUAAUCGGAAUUACUGGGCGUAAAGCGCGCGUAGGUGGUUUGAUAAGCGAGAUGUGAAAGCCCCGGGCUUAACCUGGGAACGGCAUUUCGAACUGUCAGGCUAGAGUGUGGUAGAGGGUAGUGGAAUUUCCUGUGUAGCGGUGAAAUGCGUAGAUAUAGGAAGGAACACCAGUGGCGAAGGCGGCUACCUGGACCAACACUGACACUGAGACGCGAAAGCAUGGGGAGCGAACGGG
rnacentral:rRNA from 1 species